UUUGAUAACUAAUAAAAGGUCUAGCCUGCCCAGUGACUCUGUUCAACGGCCGCGGUAUCCUAACCGUGCGAAGGUAGCGUAAUCACUUGUUCUUUAAAUGAGGACUAGUAUGAAUGGCAUCACGAGGGUUUUACUGUCUCCUUCCUCUAAUCAGUGAAACUAAUCUCCCCGUGAAGAAGCGGGGAUUAGCCUAUAAGACGAGAAGACCCUAUGGAGCUUUAAACACACAACAAUUGCUCUGCCCCCCCCCGUAAAUCUCUGGAAAGCCAUCUACCCGAGCAUUUUGAUUGCAAGUUUUAGGUUGGGGUGACCGCGGAGUAAAAAUUAGCCUCCACAGCGAAUGGGACUUUUCCCUAAACCCAGGGUUACGACCCUAAGAAUCAAUAAAUUGACACCCAUUGACCCAAUUUUUUGACCAACGAAC
rnacentral:rRNA from 1 species